rnacentral:rRNA from 1 species
AACGCAUGCUGGACGUAUCAGAAGUGCGAAUGCUGACAUGAGUAACGAUAAAGGGGGUGAAAAACCUCCUCGCCGGAAGACCAAGGGUUCCUGUCCAACGUUAAUCGGGGCAGGGUAAGUCGACCCCUAAGGCGAGGCCGAAAGGCGUAGUCGAUGGGAAACGGGUUAAUAUUCCCGUACUUCUUACAAUUGCGAUGGGGGGACGGAGAAGGCUAGGUGGGCCUGGCGACGGUUGUCCAGGUUCAAGUGYGUAGGCUUGAGAGUUAGGUAAAUCCGGCUCUUUUUAAGGCUGAGACACGACGUCGAGCCACUACGGUGGUGAAGUCAUUGAUGCCAUGCUUCCAGGAAAAGCCUCUAAGCUUCAGAUUGUAAGGAAUCGUACCCCAAACCGACACAGGUGGUCGGGUAGAGAAUACCAAGGCGCUUGAGAGAACUCGGGUGAAGGAACUAGGCAAAAUGGUACCGUAACUUCGGGAGAAGGUACRCUCUCGACGGUGAAGUCCCUCGCGGAUGGAGCUAUUGAGAGUCGCAGAUACCAGGUGGCUGCAACUGUUUAUUAAAAACACA